rnacentral:rRNA from 1 species
GAUCAUGGCUCAGAACGAACGCUGGCGGCAGGCUUAACACAUGCAAGUUGAACGGGAUUUGUGUGGUGCUUGCACCAUAUAAUGAGAGUAGCGCACUGGUGAGUAACACGUGGGAACGUACCUUUUGGUGGGGGACAACAUCUGGAAACGGAUGCUAAUACCGCAUAAGACCUGAGGGUGAAAGAUUUAUCGCCGAAAGAACGGCCCGCGGAAGAUUAGGCAGUUGGUGGGGUAAGGGCCUACCAAACCUACGA